rnacentral:rRNA from 1 species
CUUUACUGUAACUUGAAAUUGAAAUUGGACUUUACUUGCGCAGUAUAGGUGGGAGGUAUUGAUAAUAUUCUUGCGGGAAUAAGGGAGCCAUCAGUGAGAUACCACUCUUGUAAUGUUAGAUUUCUAACUUUGUAUCCUUAUCGGGUCAAAGAACAGUUUCAGGCGGGCAGUUUGACUGGGGCGGUCGCCUCCUAAACGGUAACGGAGGCGUACAAAGGUUUCCUCUGAACGGGUAGAAAUCGUAUCUAGAGUGUAAAGGCAUAAGGAAGCAUGACUGUGAGACCUACAAGUCGAGCAGGGACGAAAGUCGGUCUUAGUGAUCUGACGGUGCUGAGUGGAAAGGCCGUCACUCAACGGAUAAAAGUUA